rnacentral:piRNA from 1 species
UCCGAGUUUGAGGUCAGCCUGAACUACAA